rnacentral:rRNA from 1 species
UACGGGGGGAGCAAGCGUUGUUCGGAUUUACUGGGCGUAAAGGGCGCGUAGGCGGCCACCGCAAGUCGAUUGUGAAAUCUCCGGGCUUAACCCGGAAAGGUCAACCGAUACUGCGGGGCUAGAGUGCAGAAGGGGCAACUGGAAUUCUCGGUGUAGCGGUGAAAUGCGUAGAUAUCGGGAGGAACACCAAUGGCGAAGGCAGCUCGCUGGGACGGUACUGACGCUGAGACGCGAAAGCGUGGGGAGCAAACAGG